rnacentral:tRNA from 1 species
GCCCGGGUGGCGGAACUGGCAGACGCAAGGGACUUAAAAUCCCUCGGGGAGCGAUCCCUGUACCGGUUCGAUUCCGGUCCCGGGCA